rnacentral:rRNA from 1 species
CGUAACAGCUCACUGGUCUAGUGGUUCCGCGCCGACAAUGUAGCGGGGCUCAAGCACACCACCGAAGACGCGGCAGUAUUUUGUACUGGGUAGGAGAGCGUCCCAUGAGGGGCGAAGCGGCCGUGUGAACGCGCCGUGGACUUCAUGGGAGUGAGAAUGCAGACAUGAGUAGCGAGAGACGGGUGAAGAUCCCGUCCGCUGGAUGACCAAGGGUUCCAGGGCCACGUUCAUCGUCCCUGGGUGAGUCGGGUCCUAAGGCGAGGCCGACAGGCGUAGUCGAAUGGAUGAACGGGUCGAUAUUCCCGUACCGGCAUGCAACCGACAAAACCGAAUCCGCGAGUACUAACCUCCGGGUCCGGGCUCACGUCUCCUUCGGGAGCCGGAUGCCCUGGCCUGUUGGGACCGUAACGGUAGUAGGUCAGCGCGGGAGUGACGCAGAAGGGUAGCCGGCCGCGGAGGUGGUCUUCCGUGGUCAAGCACGCAGCCCGUCCCACAGGCAAAUCCGUGGGGCGCGUGGGCGAGGUGCGAUGAUGGGCGCCGCAGGGCGCGAUAUCCGGUGAUCCCGGCUGCCGAGAAAAGCUUCGGCGUGAGGCGGCGUGCCGCCCGUACCCCAAACCGACACUGGUGGUCAGGUAGAGAAUACCAAAGCGAUCGAGCGAAUCCUGGUCAAGGAACUCGGCAAAUCACUCCCGUUCCUUCGGUUUAAGGGAGACCCCCGAUGGUGAAGCGGCUUGCCCGCGGAGCUUUUGGGGGUGGCACAGACCAGGGGGUAGCGACUGUUUACCAAAAACACAGGAGCGUGCGAAGGCGCAAGCCGCUGUAUACGCUCUGACGCCUGCCCGGUGCCGGAAGGUUAAGAGGAUCCGUCAGGCCUCGGCCGAAGCGGUGAAUUCAAGCCCCGGUAAACGGCGGUGGUAACUAUAACCAUCCUAAGGUAGCGAAAUUCCUUGUCGGGUAAGUUCCGACCUGCACGAAUGGCGUAACGACUUCCCCACUGUCUCGACCAGGAGCUCGGCGAAAUUGCAGUACGAGUAAAGAUGCUCGUUAAGCGCAGAAGGACGAAAAGACCCCGGGACCUUUACUAUACCUUGGUAUUGGCAUUCGGUGUGGAUUGUGUAGCAUAGGCGGAAGGCUUCGAAGCCACGGCGCCAGCCGCGGUGGAGCCGCAAGGUGAAAUACCGCUCUGUUCGCAUUGGAUGUCUAACCUCGACCAGUCAUCCUGGUCAGGGACAGUGCCUGGCGGGUAGUUUAACUGGGGCGGUUGCCUCCCAAAGAGUAACGGAGGCGCUCAAAGGUUCCCUCAGCCCGGUUGGCAAUCGGGUGGCGAGUGUAAGUGCACAAGGGAGCUUGACUGCGAGACUGACGGGUCGAGCAGGGACGAAAGUCGGAACUAGUGAUCCGGUGCCGGUGUACGGACGCGGCAUCGCUCAACGGAUAAAAGGUACCCCGGGGAUAACAGGCUGAUCAUUCCCAAGAGUCCAUAUCGACGGGAUGGUUUGGCACCUCGAUGUCGGCUCGUCGCAUCCUGGGGCUGGAGCAGGUCCCAAGGGUUCGGCUGUUCGCCGAUUAAAGCGGCACGCGAGCUGGGUUCAGAACGUCGUGAGACAGUUUGGUCUCUAUCCUCUGCGCUCGUUGGAAUGCUGAGGAGGCCUGCCCAUAGUACGAGAGGACCUGGGUGGACGAACCUCUGGUAUGCCGGUUGUCACGCCAGUGGCACGGCCGGUUGGCUACGUUCGGAAGGGAUAACCGCUGAAAGCAUCUAAGCGGGAAGCCUGCUCCAAGAUAAGCAUUCCAUAGGACUACGGGUCCUUGA